rnacentral:rRNA from 1 species
GACGAACGCUGGCGGCGUGCUUAACACAUGCAAGUCGAACGAUGAAGCCAGCUUGCUGGUGGAUUAGUGGCGAACGGGUGAGUAACACGUGGGUGAUCUGCCCCAAACUUUGGGAUAAGCCUGGGAAACUGGGUCUAAUACCGAAUAUGGCCGAUACUCGCAUGGGUGUUGGUGGAAAGCUCCGGCGGUUUGGGAUGGGCCCGCGGCCUAUCAGCUUGUUGGUGGGGUAAUGGCCUACCAAGGCGACGACGGGUAGCCGGCCUGAGAGGGCGACCGGCCACACUGGGACUGAGACACGGCCCAGACUCCUAUGGGAGGCAGCAGUGGGGAAUAUGGCACAAUGGGCGCAAGCCUGAUGCAGCGACGCCGCGUGAGGGAUGACGGCCUUCGGGUUGUAAACCUCUUUCACCAGGGACGAAGCGAAAGUGACGGUACCUGGAGAAGAAACACCGGCCAACUACGU